GAGUUUGAUCUUGGCUCAGAUUGAACGCUGGCGGCAGGCCUAACACAUGCAAGUCGAGCGGAUGACGGGAGCUUGCUCCUUGAUUCAGCGGCGGACGGGUGAGUAAUGCCUGGGAAUCUGCCUGGUAGUGGGGGACAACGUUUCGAAAGGAACGCUAAUACCGCAUACGUCCUACGGGAGAAAGCAGGGGACCUUCGGGCCUUGCGCUAUCAGAUGAGCCUAGGUCGGAUUAGCUAGUUGGUGGGGUAAUGGCUCACCAAGGCGACGAUCCGUAACUGGUCUGAGAGGAUGAUCAGUCACACUGGAACUGAGACACGGUCCAGACUCCUACGGGAGGCAGCAGUGGGGAAUAUUGGACAAUGGGGGCAACCCUGAUCCAGCCAUGCCGCGUGAGUGAAGAAGGCCUUCGGUUGUAAG
rnacentral:rRNA from 1 species